rnacentral:pre_miRNA from 1 species
UUUUAUGAAUGAGCAAAUAGAGUGGUUUCUUGAGAUGGAAUCUACUCUUGGUGAAAAUGCUGUGAA